rnacentral:lncRNA from 1 species
UUUUUUUUUUUUUUUGGGUCAAAAUGUAAAAUUCAUUACCAACGACACGCAUUACAAACAUAAUGGUUCAGAUACAAAGUAAACACAAGAUGGACCAUAAAACAUAAAAGGGCCCAAAAACAGUUUUGAAGCCCAAUACACGGAAAACAGUCAUUUGGUUACAUGAUAUGAUUUGAACUUUUUGAAAACUAAACCAGAAACAUUACUGCUGCGGCUGUCCACACCAACACAGCAACUCCACAAACACGCUCUUUGUUCAUCCUUCAGCCAUCAACUCCAUCUCUCUCUCUCUCUCUCUCUUCGCCUCCUUCAGCCGUCUGUUAUGAUCUUGCAUUCGGCCUAUUAGUGAAUUCCUGGAUCACUAUGGAAGUAGUAGUUAAAUAAAUGGGAUCAAGUUGUAAUAGAGUAAGGACUAGAUUGUAAUAGUAUUUUUAACUGUGGGUCUUAGUUUUAAUUGAGUUGUCUUUUGUGCCAGUUGACGCUGACGCAAUUGUAAUGGCUGGUUGGUGGCUGGUUUAAAAGCCACUGGCGCAAUUGUAAUGGCCGGUUGGUGGUUUAAAAGCCACUGCCGCAAUUGUAAUGGCUGGUUGGUGGUUUAAAAGCCUCAGGCCCUCAGCUAGUGGACUUGCAAGGAUAUCUGAAAACGAAUAGAAAUUCCUUUCUUCUUGCUGUGCAAUUCCUUUCCUCAGUACCCACCAUUGCCACACAGUCAAGGUUGUAGCUAGGUAUUGGCUUGGGUCGUAUUACCGUCAACUCCCUCUCUCUCCCUUCCUUCGGCUCCUUCAGCCGUCAACUCACCAUCUCACUCUGGUUUGAUUUUUUGUUUUUUACUUGUACUUUGAAUUUUCUAUUUUGGUUUUGGUUCGGGCAUUUUAAUACUGUUGAACAUUCCCCAAUUCUAUUAUCCGAUAGAACACGGUUUAAUAAUUUUCGAAUAGGAAGGGGGAGGAGAAGAGGAAUAUUAUGAAAGAAGAUUACUGGCAAAAUAACGCAGGAAGAGAAAGAUAUUGUGAGGGAUAAACAAGAAAAGAGAAAUGAACGGUAUUACUUAGUCAAUUUAAGGGUAAAUUUGGCAAGAGAAUACAAAUAAACUUAUGUGGACAAUGAAUCAUGGACCUAACCCAAAAAAUUAAACAAAAUUGAACUAUAACUAAUAAUGGCACAUAAAAUUGGACUCAUAUUAAGUUUCUCCUAGUUUUUAUAAAAAUAUUUUUAUCACUUUUUUUUUUCUAAAUAAAACUUUUUAAUUAAAUUCAUGUAUUACUUUUUAUAAAAAUAUUUGUCAGUUUUUUUAAGACAAAAUAAAACUUUUAUAAAAAAAAUGAAAUAAAAUUAGGCCUAGAACUUGAAAGAAGGGGAAGGGACUGAAGUGGGAGUCGUGAGCUUAAACAAAACCUACUUAAUUUAUUUAGGAAUUGUUAUUAGUAUUCCAAAAAAUUUAUUUUUUAUUCCAAAUUUUUUAUAAUUAGAUAGAAAAAUACAAUUGUGAGGAGUGUAGAAUACGAUUUUUGGAGUCCUAAUAACAGUUCUUAAUUUUUUAAUCUAAUUUUUAACUUUUAAGUAGGGUGUGUUAUGUUUACUCAGCUGAAGUUUGUGUAAAAAAAUAGCAAAAUUUGUAUUGUAUGUAAUUACUAAAUUGCCCAUAUAUUCUGUUUUCGUACAAUUUUGAUGAGAGGAUUAAAAUAAUAAUUUUACGAAGUUUUGAUUAACAAAUAAGAUUCUAUUAAUAGAUUAAUACGUAUUUAAUAUAUACUAGCAUAUGGGCAUACUUUAAAAGUAUGUGAUAAAAAAUUUUAUUUUUGUUUUUGAAAUAGAAGGAGAGAGAGGAAGGGAGUGAUAGAGAACGUGGGAGUGGGAAAUUUUUUUUUUUUAAUUAGAGAUAUGUUAUGAUUACAUGUAUGUGAAACUUUGAAAAAAAAACAGCAAAAUUUGGUUGUGUGAAAUUACAUUUCUGCCUCAUAUUUUAUAUUCAUGUUUUGUUUUAAUUAGAAAGUUAAACUGGUAAUUUCUUAGAAUUUUGGUUGAUAAUGAGUGUUUUAUUAAUUAGUAUAGAUAUAUAUGUAUAUAUACACACACAUAACUAAUUAAAAAAAAAUAAGAAAAAUGUUAUUAGCAUUCCAAAAAUCUUAUUAUAUACUUCUCAUAAUGUAUUUUUCUUUCCUAAUAAAAAACGUUUAGAGGGUAUAAUAAAAAUUUUGGAAUGCUGAUAACAAUUUACAAAACUAAAGCACUAAAUUGUUUGAUUUUGAUUUAAUACCUUGUUCCUAAUGAUAAUAAACCCUCUCUCAAUCAUCUCUCUGGGAUUUUCUCACUGACAGACCCCAAAAAAAAAAAUUAAUACACAGCACAAGUAGUCCCAAGCGCUAAUCACUCCAAAUCACCGUUACAUCAGGUCUUGAUUGACGGAUUCGAUGCCGAGCAAAUAUGGCAGCAAAUCGACCUUCAAUCGCAGCCGCUCAUCUCGACCCUUCGCCGCGAUUUGAAGCCGGAAAUCAUGGGCUUUGGCGACGACGGUGAAGGGAGUGAGAGGAAAAUGGGUGUGAAUGUGAAAGAGAAAGUGAAGGGGAAGGUAAUAAUGCGAUAGAGGAUGGGGUUUCGGAGUUUGGGUGUGGUUGUCGGGUGUUCGUGUUUAUUUACUUCAAUUCAUAGUUUUUUUUUUUUUAAUUAGUUACAUAUAAUAAUUAACAGUGUUAAUUCUAUAGUUAAGUGGAGGGGAAGAGACACAAAUACGACGUGCAGUCUGGAGUCCGGAAAUUUAUAUAUCUAUAUAUAUAUAUAUAUAUAUAUAUUUUAGUAUUUGAGUUUUGCUUGUUAGUUUAAGAUUUGGACUUAGCCUAUCCGACUUAGGUUUAGUUCUCUAUAAAUAUUGCUUGUAAUUUAGUUUGAGAAUAAGUUAGUCACAAUGUAGUCUCUUAGGGUUUUGUAGCCAUUUCGGCAUUCUCGUUUGUUUAAUAAUAUUUUUAUUAUUUUUGUUAGUCUUAUUUGUUGCGCACUCUGAUAUUCAACUUGGUAUUAGAGCAGGUUUGAUCAUUCGGGAUUUAAUCUGCCUCGGGUUGGUAUCUGUUUGCUUGUUUUCGUUAUCGUUCGUUCAUUUUAGAUUUGUUAGUUGGUAUUGAUUGCUUGCAAGGAAAAGAAAAAUGAAAGAAAAAAAAACCCAUGGAAAGGAAAAAGAAGGAAGAAGGUGCGAUGUUGCACCUCUUCGCCCAGAAGAAGAGAGAAAAAAAAAGGAAAAAGAAAAAAAAAUUGUUUGGAGUUUUUGAGGCCCCCACAUGGGCAAACAAAAAAUAUGUUUUUUUUGUUUGUUUGCUUAGGUUUGUAUUGAAAUCUUGCAUUGGCAUCGGCAUCGGCAUCGAUAGUGGUAUUGGUAUUGGUAUUAGCAUCGACAUCGGAAGUUGGAGGCUUGCAUCCACAUCUGCUUGUUGGCAAACUCAUGUCAUGUACCGCCAUGAGUUUGACAGGGGUGGGGGGGGUGUUGGAAAAUAUCAGUAUUUAGGUUUAUUUUAGUAUUUGUAUUUUGUUUGUUAGUUUAGGAUUUGAGCCUAGCCCAUCCGAGUUAGGGUUUCUUAGGUUUAGUUCUCUAUAAAUAUUGCUUGUAAUUUAGUUUGAGAAUAAGUUAUUGUAGUCUCUUAGAGGGCGUUUGUUUGAGCUCGCUAGCUUUCACUAGCUUGGACUGGACUAUGUAGUAGUCCAGUCCUGUGUUUGUUAACAGUCGGGGACUAAGUUUAAUGAGAUUAGAAGGGACUCGCGGGGACUAACUCCCUUGCUAGCAAACCCGUCGAGAACCAUGGGAUUAGCGGGGACUAACUCCCUCUCGUCUACCUCUGCUCCUAUGUUUUCACAAACGCCGAGAGCCACCAUCAUUCCCCCUCGCCAAUUCCCCCUUCCCUUCCUCCUCUCUCCUAGUUUUCUUUUCUUUCUGCUCCGCCGAGAUCCAAGCUCGGCUCAAACUCGGCCACCACGGCGACAGUUGCUCCAUCCUCUUCUUGCUGCAAGUCUGCACGCUGCGUACAAAGUCUGCUUCUCUGCAACUCUGGCCACCUGUACCCAGACCUGAAACCCACCACACCCACUGCCUAAUUCUCAACAUCCAACCACCAAAAUUUGAAAAGAAAAAAAAAUCAAUUCGAUAACAACAACAAACUCAAUAGAAAAAUUCUUCAUUUUUCCCAAAAAAUUAAGAGAUUUUCUGAGAAAAUCAGAGGAGGGGCGAGAAACAGAGUGGUUGUGAAAUCUAUGACGCCGCAGAGAGGAGCCUCUGCACGAUUUCAAUUUUCCGUGGGAUUUGAAGUUGGGAAAUCAGAAUAUGAGGAAUCAAAACAGCAAAGAAAAGGAAAGGGAAAAAAAGAGAGAACAAAAGGGGGUGAUGAAUGAUGAUGUUUUGAGGGAGGAGAGACUGGAAAGGAAAAGAAAAAGACGAAGAGAGGGAGAGGGUCGGAGCAAAAUUAGGAAGAAAAAGGAAGAUCAGAGGAAAAAAAAAUUAGGAAUGGAGAUGGGAGUUUCCAGAAUGACAAAAGAAAGAGACAAUGAUAGUAAUAAAAUAUUACUAAAUAUGUAUUAAAUAAUAUAAAAUAUUAAUAAAAUAUGAAUGAGAAAAUAUAAUAUUAGAAUUUUUUGUUAUCCUGUUUUUUAGUCUGACACUGUAUCAAACGCUUCAUUAAGUUAGUCCAGCUUAGUCUAGUCUAAACCAGUCCAACUUAGUCCCUGAAGCUAGUCCAGUCCGAGAUAGUCCCGUACAACAAACGCACCCUUAGGGUUUUGUAGCCGUUUCGGCAUUCUCGUUUGUUUAAUAAUAUUUUUAUUAUAUUUGUUAGUCUUGUUCGUUGCGCACUCUGAUAUAUUAAUCCGAGAAAGAUGCCAAAGGAAAACAAGAAAGCCUACAGAGAGGCAAACAACCAAACAUGACAGCAGAAAUCAGGUAGUGGAAGGAGUUACAGGGAGACCGAUGCCCGCACCUAAUGCAAGACGUCACUCCUCACACUACCCACAAACAUACCUAGUGUGCAGUCUGGAAAAAUAUAUAUGAUGGGUUAAAGGCAAAGAAAAAGGCGUUCUAAGGGGGAAAGCUACAUUUUUCAGUUAAAUAAUUAAAGUUGAAUAAAAUAAAUGGUUACCUGUUCUCGUUUUUAAGAUCGUGACCAGACAAGUUUGCAGCUUCAUAAAGAGCCUCUCCCCAUUGCUUUACUCUUUCUUUACGGAUGUUCUCUUCGUGCUUCUGAACUUAGAAAAAGGUUUUUGAUUGCACUAGGGACCAUAUAUCUUAUCCGAAAUCACUCUGGCCAUUGGCAUCACGCCAAAGGUGCAUUGGAAAUCACCCCAAUAGAGCAAUUAGAUAAAUUCAGGCAUCACAGCGAAGGUGACUAAAUUUGGAAUCACUCCAAGUCAACCUGUGCCUCACACAUAAGCAGGAAAUCCAAAAGCUUACAAAGUAGCUCUUUUUUCAUCUAUGGAAUCGGAGGAGCCUCGUGCACCAUUGGUUCGAGGAGAGGAAGCUUUGUACACCAAAAAGAUGCCAAAAAGUUUGGGAGCAAAAGAAGGAGCUUUGAAGCCUGAAAAAAUGCACCGAAAAAUGGAAGCAGAAGAGAUUCCAAGCAAAAGGUUUGACAAGGAAGAAAAAGCUAAAAAGUGGAAAGUGACAGCAGAGAAACCUGAAGAAAGAGAGGCCAAGACGAAAGAAAAGGCUUCAAGAAAGUUGAAAGCUUCUCAUUCUGCAGAUCUCAAACCACAUAGAAAGGAGGCAAUUGACAAGAAGGUCGAUAAGAUCCAAAAGGUGACUUCGGUUAUUAGGAACUCACCAGAGAAAGAUACAGCGAAAUCUAAAAUGUGUCAAAGUGUCCAGAGGAUCUAAGAAGCUAAACUGCACAAUUGAUUCCUAGUCGAAAGAGAUGAGGUUCGAAG